GCCGGGCAUAGUGGUGUGGCCUGUAGUCCCAGCUACUUGGAAGGCUGAGGCUGGAGGAUCCCUUGAGCCCAGGAGUUCUGGGUUGUAGUUCACUUUGCUGAUCGGGUGUCCGCACUAAGUUCAGCAUCCAUAUGGUAACCUUCCAGAAGGGCAGGACCACGACGUUGCCUAAGGAGUGGGAUCACGCCUGUGAAUAGCCACUGCAUUCCAGCCUGGGCAACAUAGCAAGACCCCGUCUGUA
ensembl:misc_RNA Metazoa_SRP Metazoan signal recognition particle RNA